rnacentral:rRNA from 1 species
ACGGAGGAUGCGAGCGUUAUCCGGAUUUAUUGGGUUUAAAGGGUGCGUAGGCGGAUUGAUAAGUCAGUGGUGAAAUCCUGCAGCUUAACUGUAGCAUUGCCGUUGAUACUGUCAGUCUUGAGUAUGGUUAAGGUAGGCGGAAUGUGUAAUGUAGCGGUGAAAUGCUUAGAUAUUACACAGAACACCGAUUGCGAAGGCAGCUUACUGAACCAUAACUGACGCUGAGGCACGAAAGCGUGGGGAGCGAACAG